rnacentral:snoRNA from 1 species
UUACAUGAUGAUUUACGUAUUAUUUUUAUCACGACGGUCAACAUACUCUAUACAUUGAUGACCACCGCCUUUGACAGGGCAUUAUAUCUGACA